UUCAUCCAGACACGCCUUCUGCUGGGACGCGUUCAUUUCAGCACCGGACAGAGAGAGGCGGCUGCAGGCGCUGCUGAUUUUACAACACGCUGGCUCCUGCUGUUUAAACUGUUUAGUUUGGGUUGAAAUGUUUUUAAUAGUUUGUGAGUUUUGUGUUUGCUUAUUACCAGCACGGAGUUCCAGGAAAAGGAAAGAAUCGCAUUUCUCUGUUGAAUUUCACACACAGAGUGCAGCGCGUCAGUCUCUGCAGACAAGUGUCGCUUUUCAAUGAGAUUAUUUCCUGAGAAACAAACGCGUCUAAAUUCCAGCAGAGCUGCGCGGGAUCCUGAAAGACGGGCGCUACUCCUUGCAAAGUCUGUUUGUGAUGCAUAUAUUUGAAUGGGAAGGCUACGAUAAAAACAAAUAUAUCUACUAAAUACAAACCGAAGCAGUGUUUGUGGAUGAAAGGAGGAUUCCGCUAGACCAGUCUCCCACUAAAACCAGUGCAGAUGGAGGUCAGUGUCUCCGUGUCGUUCUUUCAAGAGCAGCUCGUCUCUCCUGUCAAGCGCGCAGUGAAAGCGGCUGAGACUCCAUCCUGUGUGAAAUUCACUGAGUUCCGACUGGAAAUGACUGCAAUGAAGAGAGAGAAUGAAAGUCUGAAGCUGAGAUUGGAAAUAUCAGAGAACUGAGAGCCGUGCGAGGGUGUAUAAACACUGCAGAUACAGACAUUAAACAGGCUUUCAUAUUUCAGGAUCCCAGAGAGAGCCACGCUAUCCCUGAAUCUGAAGUACAGGAGGAGCCAAAGAUAGAAGCAGUUUCCACACAAGAGGAGUCCUUUGAGCAGGAGUGCUGUGCAAGUCUAAUGCAGGUUACAGAGCUGCCGUUUGUUAAAGACUGAACAGGAAUGUGCUCCUAUCAAAGAGGAGUUCAUAGAGCAGGAAUGUGUCUCCAUCGCAGAGGAACCUCCUACUGAAAAUAUUGCCUGUACACUUGAGAAGAACAACAAGCUGGGAUCCAGCCUGUGUGAUGAUUCUCCAUCUGAAUGUGAACUGGGAUUUAGAGCUUCUAAAGUAGCUGAAGGAGAACACGACUCCACUCCAUCACCCCAGUGCAAAAACCCUUCUAAUGGCAAACCACAGUGCAAGAAGCACAGAGAAACGACACCCCAAGAAGAGUAUGUGAAGACAUUGAGAACUCACUCAGUUAAAAUCCCUUCUUUAAAGCAGACCCCCUCUUACUGUGGAGAGUACAGAGACGCUACAUUCUGCAUGUUAACAGUUUUGAAACCCAGGGCAACUUGAAGACCUUGCCUCAUUCUAUUAAAGGUGGGAAGAGUUCCUGUCAAUUAGACGUUCCUGAAACUCACAAGGGAAAUCCCACAGGAGGGGCUACAUUUUCCUGGGUUGAUUGUGGGAAGAGUUUUAAUCGUAUAUCUCUGCUUAAAAAACACCAGCGCAUUCACACAGGAGAGAAACCUUAUCACUGUGCUGUUUGUGGGAAAACAUUCAGUCACAUAGGAAACCUUAAAAAUCACAAGACUGUUCACACAGGAGAGAAACUUCAUCACUGUGCUGUUUUUGGGAAGAGAUUCAGUCAGGUAGGAGACCUUAAAAGUCACCAUCAAAUUCACACAGGAGAGAAACCUCAUCAUUGUUCUGUUUGUGGGAAGAUUCAGCUAGAUUGGAAAUCUUAAGACACCAUAAAAUUCACAUUCCCUGCACUUGAUGUGUGAAGAAGUUAAGUCAAGUGCUGGCUCUUACAGGACUUGAGAACUUUCUCAGAAUUGCAGACACUUAAACAACAUGAGGAUAUCUGACUACAAAUGAGUACUGAAAACAAAAGAAUAAACCUGCUUGACAAACAGGGUCACCCCCAUGGCCUUAACUAGCUAUGAGGACACUGGGGUCGAGUCCUAGCUUGUUUUUUUGCAUCAUCAGUGCUGAGGCUCAUGUAAAAA